GUGCCAGCCGCCGCGGUAAUACGUAAGGUCCGAACGUUGUCCGGAAUUACUGGGCGUAAAGAGCUCCUAGUGUUUGUCCUUGUUCGAAAACUCACAGUUAACUGUGGCCUCGGCAUACGGGCAGACUUGAGUACUGCAGGGGAGACUGGAAUUCCUUGGUGUAGCGNGUGGAAUGCCGCCAGAUAUCAGGAGGAACACCGGUGGCGAAUGCGGGUCUCUGGGCAGUAACUGACGCUGAGGAGCGAAAGCGUGGGGAGCGAACAGGAUUAGAUACCCUGGUAGUCCACGCCGUAAACGGUGGGUACUNAGUGUGGGCUUCCUUCCUUGGGAUCCGUGCCGUAGCUAACGCAUUAAGUACCCCGCCUGGGGAGUACGGCCGCAAGGCUAAAACUCAAAGAAAUUGACGGGGGCCCGCACAAGCGGCGGAGCAUGUGGAUUAAUUCGAUGCAACGCGAAGAACCUUACCUGGGUUUGACAUGCACAGGACGCUGGUAGAGAUAUCAGUUCCCUUGUGGUCUGUGUGCAGGUGGUGCAUGGCUGUCGUCAGCUCGUGUCGCGAGAUGUUGGGUUAAGUCCCGCAACGAGCGCAACCCUUGUCCUAUGUUGCCAGCGGUGUUAUGCCGGGGACUCGUAGGAGACUGCCGGGGGUCAACUCGGAGGAAGGUGGGGAUGACGU
rnacentral:rRNA from 1 species